ensembl:snRNA U6 U6 spliceosomal RNA
GCGAUCACUUCAGCAGCACAUACACUAAAAUUGAACAAUGCAGAAAAGAUUAUCAUGGCCCAUGCACAAGGAUGGCAUGCAUAUCAGUGAAGAACUCCAUAUUUUG